rnacentral:lncRNA from 1 species
UUCAUUUUUAAAAUAUAAGAUUUUUGUUAUUGCUAUAAAAUACAUGAUCAUUACAAAAAAUCUGAAAAACAGUAGGGAAGAUAAUCUCACGCUGUUAACGUUUUGGUAUAUCUUUUAUCUAUAGAUUUUUGUUGAUAUUUUGUUUUUCAGGUCAUACUAUAGAUAAAGGUUUUUACAUUUGUAUUUCAUAAUCACUUUUCCUCAUUAUACAUUUCAGUAUUCCAUAAGUAGUCUUUGGGGGUAUUUUGUAGAUAAUUGAAUAUAAAAUUAUUGUAAAAUUAAACACUAACAAAUACAUAAACAUGAAAUUUUCAUCAGUUCACACUCAUUACAGGGAGAAAAGGAAUCACAACUUUUUUCUAUUAUUAAAAAAACCCAAGCAUGAUAAUUAUAUAAGAUUAGCUAAUGUGGGUGUAAAUAUAUUUCAUGUUGGAAUAGUUCACAAGUACACAGAUGAUUAAAUCCUGACUUCCAAUAUAUUUGCAAGAUUUCCAUAUCUUACCACCUGGGUGUGAUUCAUAAUCAGAUAAAUAAAGGAUCUGUGUAUUUGGAAAGCCUUAAAAGAAGGAAAAAAUAUCUAUAUAAUUAUCCUCUGGUAAAGUAUACUUUGUUUCAACCUAGAGUUUUAAAUGCCAUUUGAAAGAACAAUUCUAGAAGAGUUCUAUCAGUCUAAUUCUCAUGUUACCUGAAAAUAUAAACAAGUUUAAAGUCAGUUUGACAGUUGAAUCUGAAAGUCUAGAUUGAAGUCAUGCUUUAGUCAUUAGCUAAGUGACUUAGGACCAAUAAAUUUUUAUUGAGUUUAGUUUCUUCAUCGAAUAUAUUGAGUGGAUUGGAUAAGAAGAUAUUCUAAAUCCCUCCUAACAUGAUGAAUCAUUCCUUCUAAGCUUCUCACUGCAGAUGUAAUUUGCCAUUAACACUAAUUUUUUAGCUUUCUUUUUUAAAACUCCUGUUUCCAAAUGACAAAAUAAUAAUAUUCUUAAAGAGCUAGAGAAUUAAGAGAGGUUAGCGUGCCCUUUCGCUGAAUUUCCUCAGUUGCGAUAUUUUUCUUUCAUACUGUUUUCCACCAUAACAAUAUCCCCUGAGGCUAGACUCAUAUACUUUUAGAAUAAAAGGAAAUUUCAUUAUCAAGUGGAACGAAUGAUUCAAUGCUCAAAUGUCCUCUCAAACACUUGCACCAAAUAUUCAGUUCCCUCUGUGCUUGAAAGAUAAAGAUUUAUUACCUCCCAAAGCUGCUACUUUUCCGGUUUGAACUAUACUGAUUAUUAGACAAUGCUUACUGUGAGUUGAAAUCUGUUUUCUGGUAGCUUCUCCUUCAUCUUAGCUAUACCUCUUUUUUUGUUGUUGUUUUUUAAUUAAGUUUUAGGGUACAUGUGCGCAACGUGCAGGUUAGUUACAUAUGUAUACAUGUGCCAUGUUGGUGUGCUACACCCAUCAACUUGUCAUUUAACAUUAGGUAUAUGUCCUAAUGCUAUCCCUUCCCCCUUCCCCCACCCCACAACAGGACCAGUGUGUGAUGUUCCCCUUCCUGUGUCCAUGUGUUCUCAUUGUUCAAUUCCCACCUAUGAGUGAGAACAUGCGGUGUUUGGUUUUUUGUCCUUGCGAUAGUUUGCUGAGAAUGAUGGUUUCCAGCUUCAUCCAUGUCCCUACAAAGGACAAGAACUCAUCAUUUUUUAUGGCUGCAUAGUAUUCCAUGGUGUAUAUGUGCCACAUUUUCUUAAUCCAGUCUAUCAUUGUUGGACAUUUGGGUUGGUUCCAAGUCUUUGCUAUUGUGAAUAGUGCCGCUACAAACAUAUGUGUGCAUGUGUCUUUAUAGCAGCAUGAUUUAUAAUCCUUUGGGUAUAUACCCAGUAAUGGGAUGGCUAGGUCAAAUGGUAUUUCUAGUUCAAGAUCCCUGAGGAAUUGCCACACUAACUCCUACAAUGGUUGAACUAGUUUACAGUCCCACCAACAGUGUAAAACUGUUCCUAUUUCUCCACAUCCUCUCCAGCACCUGUUGUUCCCUGAUUUUUUACUGAUCACCAUUCUAACUGGUGUGAGAUGGUAUCUCAUUCUGGUUUUGAUUUGCAUUUCUCUGAUGGCCAGUGAUGAUGAGCAUUUUUUCAUGUGUCAUUUGGCUGCAUAAAUGUCUUCUUUUGAGAAGUGUCUGUUCAUAUCCUUUGCCCACUUUUUGAUGGGGUUGUUUGUUUUUUUUUUUGUAAAUUUGUUUGAGUUCAUUGUAGAUUCUGGAUAUUAGCCCUUUGUCAGAUGAGUAGAUGGCAAAAAUUUUCUCUCAUUCUGUAGGUUGCCUGUUCACUCUGAUAGUAGUUUCUUUUGCUGCGCAGAGGCUCUUUAGUUUAAUUAGAUCCCAUUUGUCAAUUUUGGCUUUUGUUGCCAUUGCUUUUGGUGUUUUAGACAUGAAGUCCUUGCCCAUGCCUAUGUCCUGAAUGGUAUUGCCUAGGUUUUUAUGGUUUUAGGUCUAACAUUUAAGUCUUUAAUCCAUCUUGAAUUGAUUUUUGUAUAAGGUGUAAAGAAGGGAUCCAGUUUCAGCUUUCUACAUAUGGCUAGCCAGUUUUCCCUGUACCAUUUAUUAAAUAGGGAAUCGUUUUUCCAUUUCUUGUUUUUGUCAGGUUUGUCAAAGAUCAGAUAGUUGUAGAUAUGUGGCUUUAUUUCUGAGGGCUCUGUUCUGUUCCAUUGAUCUAUAUCUCUGUUUUGGUACCAGUACCAUGCUGUUUUGGUUACUUUAGCCUUGUAAUACAGUUUGAAGUCAGGUAGCGUGAUGCCUCCAGCUUUGUUCUUUUGGCUUAGGAUUGACUUGGCAAUGCGGGCUCUUUUUUGGUUCCAUAUGAACUUUAAAGUAGUUUUUUCCAGUUCUGUGAAGAAAGUCAUUGGUAGCUUGAUGGGGAUGGCAUUGAAUCUAUAAAUUACCUUGGGCAGUAUGGCCAUUUUCAUGAUAUUGAUUCUUCCUACCCAUGAGCAUGGAAUGUUCUUCCAUUUGUUUGUAUACUCUUUUAUUUCGUUGAGCAGUGGUUUGUAGUUCUCCUUGAAGAGGCCCUUCACGUCCCUUGUAAGUUGGAAUCCUAGGUAUUUUAUUCUCUUUGAAGCAAUUGUGAAUGGGAGUUCACUCAUGAUUUGGCUCUCAGUUUGUGUUAUUGGUGUAUAAGAAUGCUUGUGAUUUUUGUGCAUUGAUUUUGUAUCCUGAGACUUUGCUAAAGUUGCUGAAGGAGAUUUUGGGCUGAGACAAUGGGGUUUUCUAGAUAUACAAUCAUGUCAUCUGCAAACAGGGACAAUUUGAUUUCCUUUUAUCCUAAUUGAAUACCCUAAGUAUUUAGGAAUCUUCUCCAUUUCUUUUUAUCAGGUCAAAGUACAUAAGUACAUAUUUUAGGGUCUUCUGUUCUUGAGGGUUUUUUUUUUGUGUUUUUUGUUUUUUCUUUUCCUAUUGGAGGUUUGACACCUAUAUUUUUCUCUGACAUUUUGGAAAUUUGCUUCCCAAAGUCAAAAACAUAAUGCCUAACUUUUCCCGAUUUGGCCAACAUCAACUUUAAGAUUCUGUGGUUAUCUUUUUACCAAGAGAUUUGUCAGUUUUACUGCCCCAGUCAUUUCCUUUUUACUGAUUAGAAUUAGGCCUUUGUGUAGCUGUUCACCUAAUUACUUCCUCUACCUUGUGAAAAAGAGCAGGGACGCUAACAUUUGCUGGGUACCUACUACAUGCCAAAAGUACUUAAUCGUAUGCAGUAAUGUCAUUUAAUUUUCAAAACAACUCUCCAAAGGAAGUGUCACUCUCCUUGUUUGAUUUCUUGCUUCCCAAAUGGAAGGUCCUUUGUAUUAAUAGUAUCUGUCAAAUUUCAUACAAUACUUAAAUAUGUUCUUGAUACGUACUUCAAUAUAACCAACAGAAUGAGGCAGUAUUCGAUAAAGUAAAAAAUAAGAUGAAUAUUUCUAGUGAUUUAUAAGUUACUUGAGGAAAUCAUGCUGUUUAUUCUUUUCCUUUUUAGGUAUUCUUUGUGAAUUUGCUAUUUGUGUGUGAAUAUAUCUGUUGCGAUAAUGAAUAACCAUAUGAAAUGGAUAAUUGUAUGAAAAUUCAUUUGUAAUUCAAUAGAUUGCCAGGGAUUUUAGGUUGGUUAUGAAGGUUUGUUUUUUUUUUUUUUUUCUUUUGGAGAGUGGGGAGAUUGGCAUACAGUUUCAAAUUGUUUAUGUGGAAGUUGGAAGUGUGACUAAGCUCGAAGAAAGGAAGAGAGGGACAAAGAAAGGGAGGAGGUACCCCUAAGUGGGAACCUACCAGGACAUUCAAAGCAAGAGCAGUAAGUUCUGAAUGUUCUGGGACAACCUGGGUGAUAUGCAUGGAUAUGGGCUGUGGAGGCUGAGCAUUUUAAUGAUAACUUAGGGAAACGAGGCAUGGCCAUGGUGUAAAACUCUCAAAUCCCAAGCCCUAAUCCAACCUUAAAAUCCGAGUCUUCUAAAGGGCUGUUUUAACCAUGAAAGGACCAUAAGAAAGGCAAUUCACAGAAAAUGAAGCCAUGUGGCCAAGAAAUAUAAGAAAAACAGUAAAAGCCCUUAAUCUCAAUAGCAAUAGAGUGGAUGCAAAUGAAUAUAAUGAGUUGCCAUGUCGUUCUUACUGGAUUGGAAAAGAAAUUAGAAUGUCUAAAUAACAUGUAUCAUCCAGGAUGUGGGGAAAUGGGAGCUCUUGUACCCUGCAGGCAGGCAUUUAAAUUGGUGCAACCGCUUUGGAUUGCUGCUUUGUAGUAUCUGGUGCAACUGAAGAUGAACAUGCCCUGUGACACAGCAACCGCACUUCUAGGUCAAUACCCUAAUUAUAUUCUUACUGUGGUUCACAAGAAGGUAUGUAAGAGGUCAUUGCCUGAGCACUGUUUAGAAUAGGGGCAAACUGGAAAUCCUCUAAAUGUCUGUCAAUGAAGGAAUAGAUAAAUUGUAAUAUGUUCAUAUAAAAUGCUGCAUAAAUAAGUGAAAUUUAUAAAUAUACUAACGAAUGAAUCUUGAAAACAGAGUUGGGAGAUAAAAGCAAGCUGUUGAAGAACAUGGUCAGUAUCCUCUCACUUAUGUAAGUUAAAAACUCCAAAGAACAUUAUCUAUAUUGGUAAUGGCAUAGACAUGUGUGGUAAAAUAUAAAAAUAUUAACUAAAAGUUCUAUACGCUUCAGGAUAUUGUUAGUAUAAUAAGGCAGGAAGUGGAUAGCAUUGGGGUGAGACAGUGGUUUGGUGGUUAUGUUUGGUUACUUUAGUUAUGUUAGUAACAUUUUUUUUUUAAAGAAGGAUCUGGAAUAAUUAUGGUAAAAUAAUAGUAUUUGCUAAGACUAGAUGAUUGGUGUACUGGAUUUCAUCCGCUAUUUUCUAAGUUUGUUAUGAACGCUUAAAAUAUAUAUGUAUGUAGUAAAAUUAAUGUAAAUUUGUACAAAUAAAAAUAAAUGGCAUGUGAUAUAUGGCAGA